CACAGUCUCACAUCGAUCUUUCGAUCCUCUCCCUAUGACUCACUUUCUUCGUCUUCCUCUUGAUAGAAGGGCAUUCUUGCAGCCUUGCAAACCCAUAUAUGAGAGAAGGGCCAACAGAAUGUAUCUAAGAUUACUCGUUGCCUGAGGAUUUGAUAGCUCAGGAAGGUACCGAAGCUGCACCAAGGAGUAUAUUGGCUGUUUUAUAUGAAUAUGAUGUUUAUAUUUGUUGAUGUUUUUUAGAUUUGUGGAGCGCGAUGC